GAUGAACGCUGGCGGCGUGCCUAAUACAUGCAAGUCGAGCGAACAGACGAGGAGCUUGCUCCUCUGACGUUAGCGGCGGACGGGUGAUUAACACGUGGAUAACCUACCUAUAAGACUGGGAUAACUUCGGGAAACCGGAGCUAAUACCGGAUAAUAUAUUGAACCGCAUGGUUCAAUAGUGAAAGACGGUUUUGCUGUCACUUAUAGAUGGAUCCGCGCCGCAUUAGCUAGUUGGUAAGGUAACGGCUUACCAAGGCAACGAUGGGUAGCCGACCUGAGAGGGUGAUCGGCUAGAUGGGAAGUGAGACACAGCAGAGACUCUGGGGGGAGGAAGCAGUAGGGAAUCUUACGCGAGGGACCAAAGCCUGACGGAGCAACGCCGCGUGAGUGAUGAAGGUCUUCGGACCGGAGAACUCUGUUAUUAGGGAAGAACAAAUGUGUAAGUAACUAUGCAGGUCUUGACGGUACCUAAUCAGAAAGCCACGGCUAACUACGUG
rnacentral:rRNA from 1 species